rnacentral:rRNA from 1 species
GGUGACCUACGGGGCGCAGCAGUGGGGAAUAUUGGGCAAUGGGCGCAAGCCUGACCCAGCAACGCCGCGUGAAGGAAGAAGGCCCUCGGGUUGUAAACUUCUUUUAUUCGGGACGAAACAAAUGACGGGACCGAAUGAAUAAGCCACGGCUAACUACGUGCCAGCAGCCGCGGUAAUACGUAGGGGGCAAGCGUUAUCCGGAUUUACUGGGUGGAAAGAGCGUGUAGGCGGGAGAGCAAGUCAGACG